UACGGGGGGGGCAAGCGUUGUUCGGAAUUACUGGGCGUAAAGGGCUCGUAGGCGGCCAACUAAGUCGGAUGUGAAAUCCCCAGGCUUAACCUGGGAACUGCAUCCGAUACUGGAUGGCUUGAAUCCGGGAGAGGGAUGCAGAAUUCCAGGUGUAGCGGUGAAAUGCGUAGAUAUCUGGAGGAACACCGAUGGCGAAGGCAGCACUCUGGGCCGGUACUGACGCUGAGGAGCGAAAGCGUGGGGAGCGAACAGG
rnacentral:rRNA from 1 species